UGGUGGGAACGGAGAGUUCUGGAGACCUCAAAGGUCCCCCAGUCUCCACAUAAGCUGAGCUGAUGAAUUCUGACAAGGCUGACAACACGUCUGAAGCUGUCUUGGGAGGAACUCUCACCUCCACCUCAGAGCUAUAAACUGAGCUCCACAGAGUGGAUGACUCUGUGGAAGAUAAAUGAUGCUGUCUUUAGUGACUGCUUUCUAGGAGGACAAAAUGUAAGAAGGAAGUGAACAGACCCUUCAGUGGCACUUGAACAUAGGCAGUUAAAUCUUCGGUCAUCAAAACACACAGGUAUUAAUUGUGGAUCUCUCACAGUACCAUCUCUUGACUUCCCAAAUUCAAGAUGAUUACUGUUUUGAUGUCAGCCCCCUUAUCCACAGCUUUUUCCAGCUAUCUGUAACCCUCUGGGAGGCCCUGUCUGCUGAAGCAACGCCACUUUUCUGCCAUCGGGUUUUCAGGUAAAUAGGAAAGAGUUUUUGCAGUUGUUUUAUAUUUAGUUUACAUUACAGUUGUCCCCAUUGCUCUGUUGCUGAAGGCUAGCUCUGAUAUAGACUCAAAAGGAAUAUAAAAUGCCCACAGGAAUGGGAAGGCACUACAAGAUUGACAUCUCACCUUAUUCACUUCCAUGUGCUGGAACUGAAUCUUGCUGCCUCUUUUGGGUCUGUUAUGGGUCUCUGAAGUAGAAGAAGCACAUAGCAAACAAACCCACUUUUACUGAACUGAUUUAAAAUUUUCUGUAUGCUGUAAUAUUUUCUUAAAGACAUCUCUCUAACAGAAUGAAUAUGCACAGUGUUAACGUGAGGUAAACCA